CCUGGUAAUAAGGGUGAUGGUGAUGGUCUGAGGCGUGGGCGGCGCGGUGGAUAUAUAAGUGUGUCGGGCGCGAGCUUGUCUUGUCGCACCCCGGCAUUCGCUCUCCCGAAGUCAUGGUUUCCAGCUCUCUGAUCCUGCUGCCCCUCCUGCUGGCCGCCACUCAGUCUGGCGAGGCGGCCAAGAUCAACAGCAACGGAUGUGACUUCUCGCAGUUCGGGGCUCUCAACGCCAUGAACAUUUUCCCGAACUUCGAAUGUUACCCAGUACGAUACGCACCCACGGCGGAGGACAUCAAGGCUAUCCUCAUGACCCACAACAAGAUGAGAAUGAAGGUGGCUAUGGGCAAGGAGGAACGCGGCAGCCCAGGCCCCCAGCCCACCGCCGCCAAUAUGAGGGAGAUGGUCUGGGACAUGCAACUGGCCGAUCUAGCGCAGGCGUGGGCCAACCAGUGCAGUUUCUCCCACGACGAGUACGCUUCCAGACAGACUUGCAAGGACUCCACCAUCGGCCAGAACCUUCUCAUCAAGGACUCCGCGGAUAUGUUUAACGGCAAGAAGCUCAACUGGCCCCGCGCCAUUCACGAGUGGUACAUCGAAGUUGAGAACCACCCGGGCGCGGCGGUGCAGGAGUUCACGUCCCUGAUGAACGGAGAAGCCACGACCGGCCACUACACACAGCUUGCGUGGGCCGAGAGUAACAAGAUUGGAUGUGGCGCCACGCAGUUCGGCAACCAGGUCCUCUUCGUGUGCAACUACGCGGCGGAGGGCAACGUGAAGCCCCAGGCGGUGUACAUGAGCGGCCAGCCGGCGUCUCACUGCGUCAGCGGCCCCUCCACCUUCUACCCCGGCCUCUGCAAGUAGGGCGAGGAUGUGACGGCACGGCGGCAUAGGGGCAGUUUCACAGUUCCCCAUGUUGGAGGCAGAGAAAGACCUUGGACUAUAUGUUACCAGGCUACCAGUGAAGGGAUAUCCAGCACACCAAUACCACAUGGGAAACACUCCACUAUCCACCACAGAGGCAGAGAAAGACCUGGGACCAUAUGUUACCAGGCUACCAGUGAAGGGAUAUCCAGCACACCAAUACCACAUGGGAAACACUCCACUAUCCACCACAGAGGCAGAGAAAGACCUGGGACUAUAUGUUACCAGGCUACCAGUGAAGGCCAAAUCCGUGCCAAUCGCAGCGGACGGGUUAAGUGAGAGAUAAAUAGCACAGAAGUAUUUAGGCGUUGGUGGGCGACAAGAUUUUGCUCACCCCGCUGCAGGACGUGGACGACAGGACGCAGAGCCGCCUGCAGGAGGUGUCAGGGUGCACCGUCACCUGCCCUUCACUGGUCCUCGGUAAUUCUGUACGAUCUCCCACCUUAUGGAUUCCUCUGUUCAUCCAUUAUGUUUCUAUUAUAUAAACUUUAAUCCAAUAACACCGAGGCCAUUAAAUGUUUUAGGUGUUGUGUGUUGAUGUUCACACGUUGCCUGGAAGGAGAAAACUUAAUUGUGUUGGGCGGGGCGACGUAAUCAGUGGUGUUCAAGGUUUUAAGUUGUUGCCUUCACCAGGAGAAAAAAAUGAUGGAAUGCUCAGAGAUUUAUACCUGUUCAGAUUUAAUAACAGACACACGGGUACUGAUGUAUGCUCUCCUGUUAAAUAAAGGUUUUACCGUUAUUGCA